rnacentral:rRNA from 1 species
GACGAACGCUGGCGGCGUGCCUAAUACAUGCAAGUCGAGCGCAGGAAACUGACGGAACUCUUCGGAGGGAAGGCAGUGGAAUGAGCGGCGGACGGGUGAGUAACACGUAAGGAACCUGCCUCAAGGAUUGGGAUAACUCCGAGAAAUCGGAGCUAAUACCGGAUAGUUCAUCGGACCGCAUGGUCCGUUGAUGAAAGGCGCUUCGGCGUCACCUUGAGAUGGCCUUGCGGUGCAUUAGCUAGUGGGUGGGGUAACGGCCCACCAAGGCGACGAUGCAUAGCCGACCUGAGAGGGUGAUCGGCCACACUGGGACUGAGACACGGCCCAGACUCCUACGGGAGGCAGCAGUAGGGAAUCUUCCACAAUGGACGAAAGUCUGAUGGAGCAACGCCGCGUGAGUGAUGAAGGUUUUCGGAUCGCAAAACUCUGUUGUAAGGGAAGAACACGUACGAGAGGGAAUGCUCGUACCUUGACGGUACCUUACGAGAAAGCCACGGCUAACUACGUGCCAGCCGCCGCAGUAA